rnacentral:miRNA from 1 species
CUGAAGGAUCGAUGUAGAAUGCU